UCUGGGCUGAGGAGAUAGGUUAGAUCAGGGGUCAGCACACUGUGGCAGCUGGUCAGAUCCUGUCCACUGACUAUUUUGGUAAAGAAAGUUUGAUUGCAACCCAACCAUGCCCAUUCACUGUCCUGUUGUCUAUGUAAGCUGUCACACCACAACAGCAGAGUUGUGUAGUUGCAACAGUGACAGCCUUACCCACCAGCCUAAGAUAUUUACUAUUAAGUCUUUACAAAAAAGUGUACUGGCUCUCACACCACAACAGCAGAGUUGUAUAGUUGCAACAGUGACAGCCUGACCCAACAGCCUAAGAUAUUUACUAUUAAGUCUUUACAAAAAAGUGUACUGGCCCUGGUUAGGGGAUCUCUGCAUUGUCUUCUGGAGGAGACCUGGAGGAGGGGGCUCUUCUCCAACU
rnacentral:lncRNA from 1 species